rnacentral:rRNA from 1 species
UACGGGGGGAGCAAGCGUUGUUCGGAUUUACUGGGCGUAAAGGGCGCGUAGGCGGUCACGACAAGUCAGUUGUGAAAUCUCCGGGCUUAACUCGGAACGGUCAACUGAUACUGUCGGACUAGAGUGCAGAAGGGGCAACUGGAAUUCUCGGUGUAGCGGUGAAAUGCGUAGAUAUCGGGAGGAACACCGGUGGCGAAGGCGGCCUUCUGGUCGGAUACUGACGCUAAAACGCGAAAGCGUGGGGAGCAAACAGG